GGCUUCGCAAGGGCGAGCUGACGGAGCACGCCGCGUGAGUGAUGAAGGGCUUCGGAUCGUAAAACUCUGUUGUUAGGGAAGAACAUAUGUGUGAGUAACUGUGCACGUCUUGACGGUACCUAACCAGAAAGCCACGGCUAACUACGUGCCAGCAGCCGCGGUAAUAA
rnacentral:rRNA from 1 species